rnacentral:rRNA from 1 species
AAGUACGAGUAAAGAUGCUCGUUAGCUGCAGAAGGACGGAAAGACCCCGUCGGACCGUUUACCUUACAACUUAGUAUGUUGGGUCGUUUGGUUAGUGUGUUGUUGUAGGAUAGGUGGGAGGACUUGGUAAGGACAUUGGUCGGCCAGCUAGUGUGGAGUCAACCUUCGUAAAUAACCACCCUCGCACAUGCUGGGCGUCUAACCCACGCCCGUUACUCGGUGGGACGAGCGUCAGCGGGUAGUUUGACUGGGCGCGGGCCUCCUACGUAGUAAGGAGGACGGCGACCGUACCGUACGUCCAUCGGUCGUGGACACAGCGAGUNAAGUGCAAGGACGAAGUAGAAGGACGGUNUCGUUAGCAGACCUAACACCUAGAGCAGCGAGUGGUGGAGACGCGAACGCCAAGGAGUAGGAUG